ACCCACCAGUCCCAGAGGCCGACUCUUCUCAAGUGGAGGAGAGGGGAAGGCGUGCAUGGAGCUUUGCCUGACCGCUCGCUCUCUCCUCCCCAGCCGUCUGAGAGAAAGCGAGAGGGGUCCCAGAACCGAGCCCUCGCUCCGCACGCCCCACGCCCGCCCCGCUGUGCCGUGCGCUCUGCCCCUGAGACGCCCCGGCUCGGAGUCCCAGGGCCACAGCCGAAACUCGCCCGCCCGAGCCCCUCUCCGGCUUGCGGCGCCCUCCCGCACCGCCACCUGCCACCCGAGGCGACGCAGUCCGCUUCUCCCCACCCGCCAGGUGGCAGGUUCAGGGCCCGGGUCCGAGCCUGCUUCCCUGCAGCUGCCACAGCCACCCUCGCCGCCAGGGGGCGAGAGUCGCAGGCAGGACAAGCAGCGCUGCUGCCUUGGCGUGAAGGUGGUUUCAAACUUUAGGCUUCUCUUCCCUACCCCGCGUCUCUGAAGAGCAGAGAGGAAGAUGGAAAUCGAGUCCGGGCCGCAAACAUCAAACCAGAUGCAAACAGAUUCAUUAUCUCCAUCCCCUAAUCCUGUGUCGCCUGUGCCUUUGAAUAACCCAACAAGUGCCCCAAGAUAUGGAACAGUGAUCCCUAAUCGCAUCUUUGUAGGAGGAAUUGAUUUUAAGACAAAUGAAAGUGAUUUAAGAAAAUUUUUUUCCCAGUAUGGGUCUGUGAAAGAAGUGAAGAUUGUAAAUGACAGAGCUGGAGUAUCCAAAGGGUAUGGUUUCGUCACUUUUGAAACACAAGAAGAUGCACAAAAAAUUUUACAAGAGGCUGAAAAACUUAAUUAUAAGGAUAAGAAGCUGAACAUUGGUCCAGCAAUAAGAAAACAACAAGUAGGGAUCCCUCGUUCUAGUAUAAUGCCAGCAGCUGGAACAAUGUAUCUAACAACUUCAACUGGAUAUCCUUAUACUUACCAUAAUGGUGUUGCUUAUUUUCAUACUCCAGAGGUAACUUCGGUCCCACCACCUUGGCCUUCACGUUCUGUAUGUAGCUCCCCUGUGAUGGUAGCUCAGCCCGUUUAUCAGCAACCUGCAUAUCACUACCAGGGAAUUAAACAAUGUCAUACAAGAAGAUGGAUGGACUCUUUGCUUCCUUUUACCAAAUGUGAUGAGGCCACCACACAGUAUUUACCAGGACAGUGGCAGUGGAGUGUUCCUCAGCCUUCUGCCUCUUCUGCUCCAUUCUUAUACCUGCAACCUUCUGAGGUUAUUUAUCAACCAGUGGAAAUUGCACAGGAUGGUGGGUGUGUUCCUCCUCCACUGUCUCUGACAGAAACUUCAGUUCCAGAGCCUUAUUCUGAUCAUGGAGUUCAAGCAACAUAUCACCAGGUUUAUGCUCCAAGUGCCAUCACUAUGCCUGCGCCUGUGAUGCAGCCUGAACCAAUUAAAAUGGCACACUUGGUUUCCUGAAACAUCUUGACAUCUCACACCAUCCUGUUCUUAAGUGAGGAGCAGUGGACUUUAAAAUCCAUGGUCCAUUGAUAUUCACUUUCUGACAAAAGACAAGGCAAGGACCCACCAGCACUCCAGGUCUCACUUCAUGAUGAUGUCAUCCUCAUUGAGGGCUCACAACCUGACCAACUACUGGUUUCACUUCAGUUUUGACAUUUCCCAGAGCUAAAGAGCUAAGUCCCAAUCACAGAGAAUCCAACUGGUUCAUCUUCAGGAUCACCGCAGAAGUCAGAUCCAACUUACCACACAUUCCUCCAUUUAAAAUAUCCUGUCUUUGGAAAGUCAGGCCUCUGCGCCAAAGCUAAGCCAUCGUAUCCCCUGUGACCUACACGUACACAUCCAGAUGGUCAGUUCCUGCCUUAACUGAUGACAUUCCACCACAAAAGAAGUGAAAAUGGGCUGUUCCUGCCUUAACUGAUGACAUUCCACCACAAAAGAAGUGAAAAUGGGCUGUUCCUGCCUUAAUUGAUGAUAUUACCUUGUGAAAUUCCUUUUCCUGGCUCAUCCUGGUUCAGAAGCUCCCCCACUGAGCACCUUGUGACCCCCACCCCUGCCCGCCAGAGAACAACCCCCUUUGACUGUAAUUUUCCUUUACCUACCCAAAUCCUAUAAAAUGGCCCCACCCCUAUCUCCCUUCGCUGACUCUC